rnacentral:rRNA from 1 species
GACGGGGGGGGCAAGUGUUCUUCGGAAUGACUGGGCGUAAAGAGCUCGUAGGCGGUUUGUCGCGUCUGCUGUGAAAACCCGAGGCUCAACCUCGGGCCUGCAGUGGGUACGGGCAGACUAGAGUGCGGUAGGGGAGAAUGGAACUCCUGGUGUAGCGGUGGAAUGCGCAGAUAUCAGGAAGAACACCGAUGGCGAAGGCAGUUCUCUGGGCCGUAACUGACGCUGAGGAGCGAAAGCGUGGGGAGCGAACAGG